rnacentral:rRNA from 1 species
GGUUAAGCUACAAAGAGCACACGGAGGAUGCCUAGGCGCCAGGAGCCGACGAAGGACGUGGCGAACAACGAUAAAGCCUCGGGGAGCUGUAAGCAAGCUUUGAUCCGGGGAUGUCCGAAUGGGGAAACCCGGCUGUCUUCAUCGACAGUCACUUUCUGCUGAAUACAUAGGCAGAAUAGAGGCAGACCAGGGGAACUGAAACAUCUAAGUACCCUGAGGAAGAGAAAACAAUAGUGAUUCCGUCAGUAGCGGCGAGCGAACGCGGAUUAGCCCAAACCAAGGAGCUUGCUCCUUGGGGUUGUGGGACGUCUCACAUGGAGUUACAAAGGAACCGGUUAGAUGAAGAGGUCUGGAAAGGCCCGCCAGAGAAGGUAAAAGCCCUGUAGUUCAAAACUUGUUCUCUCCGAGACGGAUCCCGAGUAGUGCGGGGCACGUGAAACCCCGUAUGAAUCCGGCAGGACCAUCUGCCAAGGCUAAAUACUCCCUGGCGACCGAUAGUGAAGCAGUACCGUGAGGGAAAGGUGAAAAGCACCCCGGAAGGGGAGUGAAAUAGAUCCUGAAACCGUGUGCUUACAAGAAGUCAGAGCCC